CAGUCGCCGCGGUAAUACGUAGGUGGCAAGCGUUGUCCGGAUUUAUUGGGCGUAAAGCGAGCGCAGGCGGUCAAUUAAGUCUGAUGUGAAAGCCCCCGGCUCAACCGGGGAGGGUCAUUGGAAACUGGUUGACUUGAGUGCAGAAGAGGAGAGUGGAAUUCCAUGUGUAGCGGUGAAAUGCGUAGAUAUAUGGAGGAACACCAGUGGUGAAGGCGACUCUCUGGUCUGUAACUGACGCUGAGGCGCGAAAGCGUGGGGAGCAAACAGGAUUAGAGACCCGCGUAGUCCCUGUCUCUUAUAC
rnacentral:rRNA from 1 species